CAAGUCGAACGCGAAAGUCCCCUUCGGGGGGUGAGUAGAGUGGCGCACGGGUGAGUAACACGUAGGUAAUCUACCUUUGGAUUGGGAAUAACAACCGGAAACGGUUGCUAAUACCGAAUAAUGCAGCGGCACCUAAUGGUGACAGUUGUUAAAGCGGGGGAUCGCAAGACCUCGCGUCUGAAGAGGAGCCUGCGGCGGAUUAGCUAGUUGGUAAGGUAACGGCUUACCAAGGCGAUGAUCCGUAGCCGGCCUGAGAGGGCGGUCGGCCACACUGACACUGACAUACGGGUCAGACUCCUACGGGAGGCAGCAGUCGGGAAUUUUGGGCAAUGGGCGAAAGCCUGACCCAGCAACGCCGCGUGAGGGAUGAAAUCCUUCGGGAUGUAAACUUCGCAAGAACGGGAAGAAUAAGUAAGAGUUAAUAUCUCUUACGAUGACGGUACUGUUUGUAAGCUCCGGCUAACUCCGUGCCAGCAGCCGCGGUAAUACGGGGGGAGCAAGCGUUGUUCGGAUUUACUGGGCGUAAAGGGCGCGUAGGCGGCCACCGCAAGUCGACUGUGAAAUCUCCGGGCUUAACCCGGAAAGGUCAGCCGAAACUGCGGGGCUAGAGUGCAGAAGGGGCAACUGGAAUUCUUGGUGUAGCGGUGAAAUGCGUAGAUAUCGAGAGGAACACCUGCGGCGAAGGCGGGUUGCUGGGCUGACACUGACGCUGAAGCGCGAAAGCUAGGGGAGCGAACGGGAUUAGAUACCCCGGUAGUCCUAGCCUUAAACGAUGAAUGCUUGGUGUCUGGGGUUUUAUAGUCCCCGGGUGCCGUCGCUAACGCUUUAAGCAUUCCGCCUGGGGAGUACGGUC
rnacentral:rRNA from 1 species